GUAAAAGUNGUAACAAGGUUUCCGUAGGUGAACNUGCGGAAGGAUCAUUA
rnacentral:rRNA from 1 species